GACGAACCGUCCAAACGUUAUUCGGAAUCACUGGGCUUAAAGGGCGCGUAGGCGGGCUUCCAAGUCAGGGGUGAAAUCUUUCGGCUCAACCGGAAAAGAGUCCCUGAUACUGGAAGCCUCGAGGGAGGUAGGGGUCGAUGGAACUGGUGGUGGAGCGGUGAAAUGCGUAGAUAUCACUAGGAACGCCGGUGGCGAAAGCGAUCGACUGGACCUCUUCUGACGCUGAGGCGCGAAAGCCAGGGGAGCAAACGGG
rnacentral:rRNA from 1 species